rnacentral:lncRNA from 1 species
UGAGGCAAAAUGAAGCUCUGCAACAGCGUCCUGGCAGGAAAAAGAGAAUCCUAUUACAUCAUAGGUAACAUGAGCACCACGGCAUCCUCCUUUGUCGUCUGUCUCCUGCUAGAGAGGCAAUUAUCAGGCCGUAACGCGCGGGCAGGCAGUGAUUAGAAUCCUACUACAGACUGCUUGCAAUUCUCCAGAUCCCCUGCUCCCGGAGCAUGCUUCAGCCUGGGCUGGCUCAGUCUGCUUACCUUCGUUCACAGUUUUCUUUUUUUCUGCCUCAAGGAAGAAACAACCUUGGCAGCCCGCAUUUGCUCAUUUAGGUUGAGGUGCUUUUACAGGACGCCCGCUCUGGGGAGCUUUAGAAGGGCACUUGCUGCUUUCUCGGCUUUUAACAGCAACAAACGCCACCUAAAGAGCCACCAGUGCUCCCGGUUGGUCAGAGUAUGAUGUCACCGAUGAGAUCACAUGACCAGACCCUUGGACCGGCCUUGGAGAAAGGAAGAUUUUUUAACCUAGCACAGAAGCCUUAAAGAUGUAGUCUCAUCUAAACAAAUGCCAUCAAAUGGGUAGGGGGAGGCUUUGUCAGCUCAGGCAAGUUUUAUACUUCAUACCCCAUUUAGCAGAAAGAACCAGACAUCAAAGUAGAAACAUCCAGAAACUUUAGAAUUACUACGAUUUUUAAAUUACUACAUUUUAAAUAAACCACUAGUGUGAGCUUGGUGGCAUAUGUCUGUAAUUCUAGCACUUAGGAGGCUAGCAGGUUUACAAGUGGCCUGGGUGAAAUAGAAAGACCUUGUCU